rnacentral:rRNA from 1 species
GACAGCGGCGGACGGGUGAGUAACGCGUAAAUAACCUGCCAUACACACAAGGAUAGCCAUCGGAAACGGUGAUUAAUACUUGAUGAGGCUACAGAUUCGCAUGAAUCAGUAGUUAAAGAAUUUUGGUGUAUGAUGGAUUUGCGUUUGAUUAGCUAGUUGGUAAGGUAAUGGCUUACCAAGGCAAUGAUCAAUAGCCGGCCUGAGAGGGUGAACGGCCACACUGGAACUGAGACACGGUCCAGACUCCUACGGGAGGCAGCAGUGAGGAAUAUUGCACAAUGGGCGAAAGCCUGAUGCAGCGACGCCGCGUGGAGGAUGACGGCCUUCGGGUUGUAAACUCCUGUCACGUGGGAAGAAAUCCGUGUGUGUAAUAUAUACACGGGAUGACGGUACCAUGAGAGGAAGCACCGGCUAACUUCGUGCCAGCAGCCGCGGUAAUACGAAGGGUGCUAGCGUUAUCCGGAAUCAUUGGGCGUAAAGGGGGCGCAGGCGGCAUAUUAAGUCAACUGUCUAAUUUCCUGGCCUAACUAGGAGCCGGCAGUAGAUACUGAUGUGCUAGAGGAUGAGAGAGAGGAGUAGAAUUCUCGGAGUAGCGGUAAAAUGCGUAGAUCUCGAGAGGAAUACCGAUGGCGAAAGCAGCUCCUUGGCUCAUUCCUGACGCUCAGGCCCGAAAGCAUGGGUAGCAAACAGGAUUAGAUACCCUGGUAGUCCAUGCUGUAAACGCUGAUCACUAGACGUUAGAGCUACCUAGUAGCUUUAGUGUCGAAGCUAACGCGAUAAGUGGUCCGCCUGGGGAGUACGGUCGCAAGAUUAAAACUCAAAGAAAUUGACGGGGGUUCGCACAAGCGGUGGAACAUGUGGUUUAAUUCGAUACUACGCGCGAAACCUUACCUGGGUUUGACAUGCAUCCGAUGGUCAUGGAAACAUGGCUUUUCAAAGCUUUGCUUUGGACGGAUGUACAGGUGCUGCAUGGCUGUCGUCAGCUCGUGUCGUGAGAUGUUGGGUUAAGUCCUUUAACGAGCGCAACCCUUGCCAUUAGUUGCUACUCCCUUGUGGAGGCACUCUAAUGGGACUGCCUGGGAAACCAGGAGGAAGGUGGGGACGACGUCAAGUCAUCAUGGUCCUUAUGCCCAGGGCUACACACAUGUUACAAUGGUCAAUACAGAGAGUGACGAGCCUGUGAAGGUAAGUUAAUCUCAAAAAGUUGACCUAAGUUCGGAUUGAGGUCUGCAACUCGACCUCAUGAAGUUGAAAUCGCUAGUAAUCGCAUAUCAUCAUGGUGCGGUGAAUACGUUCUCGAACCUUGUACACACCGCCCGUCACACCACGAAAGCUGUCUGUACCCGAAAUCGCCUAAGCUAACCCGAAAGGGAGGCGGGCGAUGAAGGU